AUACGGAGGACGCGAGCGUUAUCCGGAUUCAUUGGGUUUAAAGGGUGCGCAGGCGGCCGUGCAAGUCAGCGGUGAAAGCCCGGGGCUCAACCCCGGAAGUGCCGUUGAUACUGCAUGGCUGGAAUGCGGUCGAGGCGGGCGGAACGUGGCGUGUAGCGGUGAAAUGCGUGGAUAUGCCACAGAACGCCGAGAGCGGAGGCAGCUCGCCAGGCCUGCAUUGACGCUCGGGCACGAAAGCGUGGGGAUCGAACAGGAUUAGAUACCCUGGUAGUCCACGCCCUAAACGAUGAGUACUAAGUGUUGGAGCAAUUCAGCGCUGAAGUUAACGCAUUAAGUACUCCGCCUGAGUAGUACGUACGCAAGUAUGAAACUCAAAGGAAUUGGCGGGG
rnacentral:rRNA from 1 species